CCUACGGGAGGCAGCAGUAGGGAAUCUUUCACAAUGGGCGAAAGCCUGAUGGUGCAACGCCGCGUGCAGGAUGAAGGCCUUCGGGUUGUAAACUGCUUUUAUAAGCGAGAAAUAUGAUGGUAACUUAUGAAUAAGGAUCGGCUAACUACGUGCCAGCAGCCGCGGUCAUACGUAGGAUCCGAGCAUUAUCCGGAGUGACUGGGUGUAAAGAGUUGCGUAGGUGGCAUAAUAAGUAGCUAGUGAAAUCUGGUGGGUCAACCAUUCAGACUAUUGGCUAAACUGUUAAGCUCGAGACCGUUAGGAGUAGCUGGAAUGUCUGGUGUAGGAGUGAAAUCCGUAGAUAUUAGAAAGAACACCAAUAGCGUAGGCAGGUUACUGGGACGGUUCUGACACUAAGGCACGAAAGCGUAGGGAGCGAACGGGAUUAGAUACCCUAGUAGUC
rnacentral:rRNA from 1 species